AGAGCGGCGGACGGGUGAGUAAUGCCUAGGAAUCUGCCUGGUAGUGGGGGAUAACGUUCGGAAACGGACGCUAAUACCGCAUACGUCCUACGGGAGAAAGCAGGGGACCUUCGGGCCUUGCGCUAUCAGAUGAGCCUAGGUCGGAUUAGCUAGUUGGUGGGGUAAUGGCUCACCAAGGCGACGAUCCGUAACUGGUCUGAGAGGAUGAUCAGUCACACUGGAACUGAGACACGGUCCAGACUCCUACGGGAGGCAGCAGUGGGGAAUAUUGGACAAUGGGCGAAAGCCUGAUCCAGCCAUGCCGCGUGUGUGAAGAAGGUCUUCGGAUUGUAAAGCACUUUAAGUUGGGAGGAAGGGCAGUUGCCUAAUACGUAACUGUUUUGACGUUACCGACAGAAUAAGCACCGGCUAACUCUGUGCCAGCAGCCGCGGUAAUACAGAGGGUGCAAGCGUUAAUCGGAAUUACUGGGCGUAAAGCGCGCGUAGGUGGUUUGUUAAGUUGGAUGUGAAAUCCCCGGGCUCAACCUGGGAACUGCAUUCAAAACUGACUGACUAGAGUAUGGUAGAGGGUGGUGGAAUUUCCUGUGUAGCGGUGAAAUGCGUAGAUAUAGGAAGGAACACCAGUGGCGAAGGCGACCACCUGGACUGAUACUGACACUGAGGUGCGAAAGCGUGUGGAGCAAACAGGAUUAGAUACCCUGGUAGUCCACGCCGUACACGAUGUCAACUAGCCGUUGGGAGCCUUGAGCUCUUAGUGGCGCAGCUAACGCAUUACGUUGACCGCCUGGGGAGUACGGC
rnacentral:rRNA from 1 species